AAUGAACGCUGCGGCAGGCUUAAUACAUGCAAGUCGAGCGAGUGGCGGACGGGUGAGUAAUGCGUAGGAAUAUGACUUAUAGUGGGGGACAACAUCACGACAGGGAAGCUAAUAUCGCAUCCUAAUAGCUGAGCCUAAGUCGGAUUAGCUCGUUGGUGGGGUAAAGUCCUACCAUGGCGACGAUCUGUAGCGGGUCUGAGAGGAUGAUCCGCAAAACUGGGACUGAGACACGGCCCAGACUCCUACGGGAGGCAGCAGUGGGGAAUAUUGGGCAAUGGGGGGAAGCCUGCUCCAGCAAUGCCGCGUGAGUGAAGAAGGCCUUCGGGUUGUAAAGCACUUUCAGCGGGGAAGCGUUACCCACACAGAAAGCACCGGCUAACUCCGUGCCAGCAGCCGCGGUAAUUC
rnacentral:rRNA from 1 species